rnacentral:rRNA from 1 species
GAUGAACGCUGACAGCAUGCUUAACACAUGCAAGUCAACUGUGGCGGACGGGUGAGUAACGCGUAAAGAACUUGCCUCACAGAUAGGGACAACAUUUGGCAACGAAUGCUAAUACCUGAUACUGUGAGAGAGCUUUGCGUCCCAUUAGCUAGUUGGAGAGGUAACGUCUCACCAAGGCGAUGAGGGGUAUCCGGCCUGCGAGGGUGAUCGGCCACACGGGGACUGAGACGCGGCCCUUACUCCUACGGGAGGCAGCAGUGGGGAAUAUUGGAGAAUGGACCAAAGUCUGAGCCAGCAAUUCUGUGGGCACGAUGAAGUUUUCGGAAUGUAAAGUGCUGUCAGUUGGGAAGCGGUACCAACAGAAGAAGUGACGGCUAAAUACGUGCCAGCAGCCGCGGUAAUUC